CUACGGGAGGCAGCAGUGAGGAAUAUUGGUCAAUGGGCGGGAGCCUGAACCAGCCAAGCCGCGUGAGGGAAGAAGGUACAGCGUAUCGUAAACCUCUUUUGUCAGGGAACAAAGGCGGGGACUAGUCCCCGGAUGAGGGUACCUGAAGAAAAAGCAUCGGCUAACUCCGUGCCAGCAGCCGCGGUAAUACGGAGGAUGCGAGCGUUAUCCGGAUUUAUUGGGUUUAAAGGGUGCGCAGGCGGCCUGUUAAGUCAGCGGUAAAAGCCCGGGGCUCAACCCCGGCGAGCCGUUGAAACUGGCGGGCU
rnacentral:rRNA from 1 species